rnacentral:rRNA from 1 species
CAAUAGCGUAUAUUAAAGUUGUUGCAGUUAAAAAGCUCGUAGUUGGAUUUCUGUCAAGAGCAAGCGGUCAGCUCCUUUGGAGUGUGUACUUGCGUCGUUUUUGACUUUCUUCUGAACCUUGCUGUUUCCCCUUCAUUGGGUGAGGCAGUUUGGCAGAACCUUUACUUUGAGAAAAUUAGAGUGUUUCAAGCAGGCUAGCGCCUUGAAUACUGCAGCAUGGAAUAAUAAGAUAGGAUUUCAGUUCUAUUUUAUUGGUUCUAAGGACUGAAAUAAUGAUUAAUAGGGACAGUUGGGGGCAUUCGUAUUUAACUGUCAGAGGUGAAAUUCUUAGAUUUGUUAAAGACGAACUACUGCGAAAGCAUUUGCCAAGGAUGUUUUCAUUAA